rnacentral:rRNA from 1 species
UACGUAGGUGGCGAGCGUUGUCCGGAUUUACUGGGCGUAAAGAGCGCGCAGGCGGUCGUCCAAGUCGCGUGUGAAAGCCCCCGGCUCAACUGGGGAGGGUCACGCGAUACUGAUCGACUCGAAGGCAGGAGAGGGAAGCGGAAUUCCCGGUGUAGUGGUGAAAUGCGUAGAUAUCGGGAGGAACACCAGUGGCGAAGGCGGCUCACUGGUCCGGUACUGACGCUGAGGUGCGAAAGCGUGGGGAGCAAACAGG